rnacentral:rRNA from 1 species
AGAGUUUGAUCCUGGCUCAGGAUGAACGCUGGCGGCGUGCUUAACACAUGCAAGUCGAACGAAGCACUUUAUUUGAUUUCUUCGGAAUGAAGAUUUUGUGACUGAGUGGCGGACGGGUGAGUAACGCGUGGGUAACCUGCCUCAUACAGGGGGAUAACAGUUGGAAACGACUGCUAAUACCGCAUAAGCGCACAGGGUCGCAUGACCUGGUGUGAAAAACUCCGGUGGUAUGAGAUGGACCCGCGUCUGAUUAGCUAGUUGGUGGGGUAACGGCCUACCAAGGCGACGAUCAGUAGCCGACCUGAGAGGGUGACCGGCCACAUUGGGACUGAGACACGGCCCAAACUCCUACGGGAGGCAGCAGUGGGGAAUAUUGCACAAUGGGGGAAACCCUGAUGCAGCGACGCCGCGUGAGUGAAGAAGUAUUUCGGUAUGUAAAGCUCUAUCAGCAGGGAAGAAAAUGACGGUACCUGACUAAGAAGCACCGGCUAAAUACGUGCCAGCAGCCGCGGUAAUACGUAUGGUGCAAGCGUUAUCCGGAUUUACUGGGUGUAAAGGGAGCGCAGGCGGUGCGGCAAGUCUGAUGUGAAAGCCCGGGGCUCAACCCCGGUACUGCAUUGGAAACUGUCGUACUAGAGUGUCGGAGGGGUAAGCGGAAUUCCUAGUGUAGCGGUGAAAUGCGUAGAUAUUAGGAGGAACACCAGUGGCGAAGGCGGCUUACUGGACGAUAACUGACGCUGAGGCUCGAAAGCGUGGGGAGCAAACAGGAUUAGAUACCCUGGUAGUCCACGCCGUAAACGAUGUCGACUUGGAGGUUGUGCCCUUGAGGCGUGGCUUCCGGAGCUAACGCGUUAAGUCGACCGCCUGGGGAGUACGGCCGCAAGGUUAAAACUCAAAUGAAUUGACGGGGGCCCGCACAAGCGGUGGAGCAUGUGGUUUAAUUCGAUGCAACGCGAAGAACCUUACCUGGUCUUGACAUCCACGGAAGUUUUCAGAGAUGAGAAUGUGCCUUCGGGAACCGUGAGACAGGUGCUGCAUGGCUGUCGUCAGCUCGUGUUGUGAAAUGUUGGGUUAAGUCCCGCAACGAGCGCAACCCUUAUCCUUUGUUGCCAGCGGUCCGGCCGGGAACUCAAAGGAGACUGCCAGUGAUAAACUGGAGGAAGGUGGGGAUGACGUCAAGUCAUCAUGGCCCUUACGACCAGGGCUACACACGUGCUACAAUGGCGCAUACAAAGAGAAGCGACCUCGCGAGAGCAAGCGGACCUCAUAAAGUGCGUCGUAGUCCGGAUUGGAGUCUGCAACUCGACUCCAUGAAGUCGGAAUCGCUAGUAAUCGUGGAUCAGAAUGCCACGGUGAAUACGUUCCCGGGCCUUGUACACACCGCCCGUCACACCAUGGGAGUGGGUUGCAAAAGAAGUAGGUAGCUUAACCUUCGGGAGGGCGCUUACCACUUUGUGAUUCAUGACUGGGGUGAAGUCGUAACAAGGUAACCGUAGGGGAACCUGCGGUUG